AUUAUUAAGAAUAAAAAAUUGUAAGUAAAUAUUAAUUACGAAAGCAAAAAAUUAUGGCGGUAUUUUAAGCUUUUCAGAGGAAUUUGCUCUUUAAUGGAUAAAACACCUAAACCUUACUUAAAUUAGUCCUUUCAGUUUGUAUACCACUAUUAUAAUAAUAAUUUCGUUUUAUUAUUAAUAUUCUUAAAAGAAAUAAAUUAAGUCAAGGUGCAGCAUAAAUUUAUGAAUGAAGUGAAUUACAUUUCUUUAAAGAAAAAUGAAAUUGAAAUAAAACAUAGGAUUUGAUAGUAAAGUUAAAAUAUUAUGUUAAUUUGAAUAAAGCUCUAAAAUAUGUAC
rnacentral:rRNA from 1 species